CCUACGGGCGGCAGCAGUGAGGAAUAUUGGUCAAUGGACGAGAGUCUGAACCAGCCAAGUAGCGUGAAGGAUGACUGCCCUAUGGGUUGUAAACUUCUUUUAUAUGGGAAUAAAAUGUUCCACGUGUGGGAUUUUGUAUGUACCAUAUGAAUAAGGAUCGGCUAACUCCGUGCCAGCAGCCGCGGUAAUACGGAGGAUCCGAGCGUUAUCCGGAUUUAUUGGGUUUAAAGGGUGCGCAGGCGGCGAGUUAAGUCAGCGGUAAAAUUUCGGGGCUCAACCCCGACGAGCCGUUGAAACUGGCUUGCUAGAGUGGGCGAGAAGUAUGCGGAAUGCGUGGUGUAGCGGUGAAAUGCAUAGAUAUCACGCAGAACUCCGAUUGCGAAGGCAGCAUACCGGCGCCCAACUGACGCUCAGGCACGAAAGCGUGGGUAUCGAACAGGAUUAGAUACCCCUGUAGUC
rnacentral:rRNA from 1 species